CUUUACUUUCAUAUAUAUAUAUUUUUACAGAAUUUCCAGUAGGAUAUCCCAAAAUCAUUGUAAAUCCAGAGCUAAAAUCUGUUGAGAAAGAGAAACCUGCCAUUAUGCAGUGUCAAGCGGAUGCUAAUGGACACAAGUUUGAUAUUGAGUGGUUCAAAAAUGGCGUCCCUGUAGACCUGGGUGACAACAAACGGCUCACAAUCACAGAAACAGGUUCUUUACGGAUAGCCAAAGCCCUAGAGUCAGAUUAUGGAAAAUAUGAAUGCGUAGCUACCAAUGAGUAUGGAGUGACUUACUCUUAUGCUGCGAUGUUAUACAUCAGAGUACGUGGAGUCCCCCCUAUUUUUACCCUCCCCCCAAAGAGAGUGGAGGUGGACCCCAAUGGCAGCGUCAAUCUGACCUGCGUGGCGGUCGGGUCCCCCAUGCCACACGUUAUGUGGCGGGAUGGUGCCACGGAACUCGGAAAGCCUGUCAUAGGAAAGAAUGUCCUCCAACUUAAGAACGUCACCGAGAGCAAGAACUACACAUGCGUGGCGUCAUCUUACUUAGGAAACAUCGAACACAUCGGGGAGGUCAUCAUUAAAGUCGAACCCCGUAACAUUUUUGCGGAAGUUACAGGACCUAACACUAUAGAUGUAUCCUGGGACCCACCGAGUCAGACCAAAAACGUGGUUACUAAAUACUUUGUGUACUACAACGAUACCUACCUGAAGCAGGAGAGCCAUUUGGUAGUCCAGGGCACGGAGACCAAGUGUCAACUCGAGGAACUGACCCCCGACACUGUGUAUACCAUCAAAGUCUCCGCAAUCUCCAAUAAAGGUGAAGGUGCCGCCACGCGGAUAAUCCAGGCCAAGACGCUGCCAUUUGUGCCUGACGAGCCUACAAAUGUGACGGCCGAAGCCAUUAACUCGACGGCCAUGUUUGUGGACUGGCAGCCACCAGAGGGCAGAGAUAAGGGGGCUACAUAUGAAUUCAGAGUGAAGGCUAAGAAUGAAGUUGGACUUGGUGAGAGGGCAUCAGCUGUAAUUAUCACCCCUGAUGGAGGAAUAAUCUCUGGAGCAGUGUUACAGCUAAGGGAUGACUUCUGUCUGUCCUGCUCCUUCCAGGAGAUACUGUAAAUUGCCAUGUUAAUGGGAGCUGUCCCGGGAUCACUUAUUGGAGGUAAGAAUAGAUCGUCAGUGCCAUGUUAAUGGGAGCAGUCACAGGAUCACUUAUUGGAGGUAACGUAGUCAGUCCCAUGUUAAUGGGAGCUACCACAGAUCACUUUGGAGGUAAGGAACAUUAUCAGUGCAAUGUUAAUUGGAGCUGUCACGGGAUCACUUAUUGGAGGUAAGGUCAUCAGUGCCAUGUUAAUGGGAGCUAUAGCAGGAUCACUUAUUCGAGGUAAAAAUAGAUCAUCAGUGCCAUUUUAAUGGGAGCUAUCUCAGGAUCACUUAUUGGAGGUGAGGUACAUCAUCAGUGCAGUGUUAAUUGAAGCUGUCAUUAGAUUGCUUUUUUGGAGGUAAGGUUGUCAGUGCCAUUUUAAUGGGAGCUAUAGCAGGAUCACUUAUUGGAGGUAAAAACAGAUCAUCAGUGCCAUGUUAAUGGGAGCUGUCACUGGAUCACUUAUAGGAGGUAAGGAAACAUCAUUAGCGCCAUGUUAAUGGGAGCUGUCGUGGGAUCACUUAUAGGAGGUGUUUUAAUUGACAAAUUUGGCAGACGACUGACCAUUACCGUAUAAUCCCUAUUAACCACCCCUGCCCCUAUAAGUGCCCCCUUAGGUCUUUUUCAACUGUCAAGAAAUAACGGCCCCCUGUACAGUGAUUAAAAUC